GCGGGUAUAGUUCAGUGGCAGAACGUGUGCUUCCCAAGCACAAUGUCGCCGGUUCAAGUCCGGCUACCCGCUCCA
rnacentral:tRNA from 1 species